AGGAUCUAUUGAUAUUCAAGGAUCUGUCCAUAGAUUUCUCCCAGAAGGAGUGGAAAUUCCUAGACUUUGGUCAGAGGACUUUGUACAAGAAGGUGAUGUUGGAGAACUAUAGCAAUCUGAUGUCUAUAGGUCUUGCUGUGUGUAAACCUGUUCUGGUCUCCUGUCUGGAGGAAAGCAAAGAGUCCUGGAAUGUGAAGAGAGGGGAGACUGUAGCCAACCAGUUAGGACUGAGUUGAUGAAGGAGGGUGGGCCACUGGCAGGCAGGAGAGGAGAAACUUCUAUCGCAGUCUCCAUGUUGAGCUCUACCUUCCUGCACAUCUACUGUGGCGGCAGAUAGGAAAACGGCCUAUUUGGUUUUCUGUCGUACUUCUUCCUCUUGUUUAUUGGCAGAUGAAGUGGAUUUUCAGUGAACUGAAGGAAGUUUCUUGAAAGAAAGAGAAGAUUCUUAAUAUAUUGCUUGGAAAGGAAACUCACAGAAGGAGGAGAGAGAUGGCCUCUUUUCAGAGGUCUUGCUGUGUGUAAACCUGUUCUGGCCUCCUGUCUGGAGCAAAGGAAAGAGCCCUGGAAUGUGAAGAGAGGGGAGACUGUAGCCAACCAGGUAGGUUUGAGUGGAUGAAGGAGAGGCCCCGGUGAGAGGUCCUAAGUAAAGAAGGAUGAAGACCAGAACAUGGUUUUGCCAUAGUCUAUUCCACUAGAAAAAGAUUCUGAUAAUUUAAUUUAUAUCAGUUUCAUCAAGAUUUUACCUGUAGUAAACGUCAAAUGAAUUCUUUUAUUGUGUGUGAAUUAUGUGGCAAUUACUAGUAUGAAAACAUCACUUGAUUUAAUUAUUUAAUUUUACCUGCUGAAUAAUUUUUCUGAGUUGUAGAUCAGAUGAAAACAAUCCACAAUUGACGGUGGGGUAAUGUGAGAGGAAACAGAUAAAAUUCAGUU